rnacentral:lncRNA from 1 species
CGGUCAACAAAAUUUUUAGGAAAACAAAACAUAGUUAAUCAUAAAUCGUAAAAAGUUUAGGGAAGAAAAAUAUACAGUUAACCCUUAUAUUUUAAACCCAUGUCCAUGAUUUCUCAAACUCAUUUCUGCUACAUAAGAGGCAAUAAUAAUAUCACGAGAACAAAACUUCUUGAUGGAUAGUAUUAUAUUGUCUUUGUACAUAAAAAAGAAACCUAAGCCAUAGAAAGAGCCUAAUAACUCUUGAAGCUGCAGAAGACCUUCCUGUUUGUCUUCGAGCUAAAGCAUACAUAAUAAGUGUUUUUAUAUAGUACAGCAACAGUGGUACGUACUAGACAUCAUAUGCUAGAAGAUUCAAGAGCUAGAAGACAUCUAAAGUUUAUAACAAAAAGGAAAACAAAAAAACUGCUAAAUAUAUUUUUUAGUAUAACUAGAAUAUUAAUUAUGAUCACAGCCCAACCAAACCUUUCAUCUGCAGCUCCGUUCUCUUUUCUGAUAUGAAUCUUGAAGCAGCUUCAUUGCACUUGACAUCUUCUACAUGCAUGUGGACCACCUUGGUAGCUCCAUAAGUUGGAUAAAAUUUGUAUUGGCAGAGAUUUUGAUGAGUUGCUGGAGGGUUGUUGCCACCAUUGCCAAAACUCUUUUGCCUGCCAAAUAACUUUUCUAUUUCAAACCCAAAUUUUGCAAAAUCUGCUUGUGGUGCCAUGAUUUCUCAACUACACAAGAAAAAGAAGGAAAUAAAGAAAGAAUCAAUUAAGGAAGUGCUCUCUAUGUUUUGAGUAUAAAAUUUGAUGGGCAAGGGUAUAUAUAUAGGUCCAUUAAUUAAUAUGUAAUAAGGUAAAGGCACUGCAUCUUUUCUCCAAUAGGAAUCGAAUCUGUUGGAAUAGUAAAUUAUUAGAGCAUCAAAGAAGGUGGCAAAAUAGUAGACGU